GGCAGGCCUAACACAUGCAAGUCGAACGCACCUUCGGGUGAGUGGCAGACGGGUGAGUAACGCGUGGGAACCUGCCCUGUGGUACGGAAUAACCCUGGGAAACCGGGGCUACUACCGUAUACGCCCUACAAGGGAAAGAUUUAUCGCCAUAGGAUGGGCCCGCGUCAGAUUAGCUAGUUGUUGGGGUAACAGCCUAACAAGGCGACGAUCUGUAGCUGGUUUGAGAGGAUGAUCAGCCACACCGGGACUGAGACACGGCCCAGACUCCUACGGGCGGCAGCAGUGGGGAAUCAUGGACAAUGGGCGAAAGCCUGAUCCAGCCACGCCGCGUGAGUGAAGAAGGCCCUAGGGUUGUAAAGCUC
rnacentral:rRNA from 1 species